rnacentral:misc_RNA from 1 species
GUUGAAGAGAUCCUUCCUUGAAGCCUUUCCACACGACGACUCUAACCACACGUGUGUAGUCCUUCCACGGGCAACGUCACCGAUGUGCUGGAACACCGCCCCUGGGUGAACCAGCAGCUGGAUUUCGCCCGAGAUCCGGUCCACAGAUUAGAUGGUGACGGUCGGUUUGGGGCCCCUUGCGGGCUCCCAACUGAUGAAGAUAUAACCGGUCGAGCAUCGGUCAGAUGCUCGAGAAACGUUCCGUAGGUGA